rnacentral:rRNA from 1 species
AUACGUAGGGGGCAAGCGUUGUCCGGAUUUACUGGGUAUAAAGGGAGCGCAGGCGGAUUCGUAAGUCAGGGGUGAAAUCCUACAGCUUAACUGUAGAACUGCCUUUGAUACUGCGAGUCUUGAGAUCGUAAGAGAGAGACGGAAUUCCAGGUGUAGUGGUGAAAUACGUAGAUAUCUGGAAGAACACCGAUGGCGAAGGCAGUCUCUUGGUCCGUAUCUGACGCUGAGGCUCGAAAGCGUGGGGAGCAAACAGGAUUAGAAACCCGAGUAGUCC